CAGCCGCCACGGUAAUACGAAGGGUGCAGGCGUUAAUCGGAAUUACUGGGCGUAAAGCGUGCGUAGGCGGUUUGUUAAGUCUGUUGUGAAAUCCCCGGGCUCAACCUGGGAAUGGCAAUGGAUACUGGCAAGCUAGAGUGUGUCAGAGGAAGGUGGAAUUCCCGGUGUAGCGGUGAAAUGCGUAGAGAUCGGGAGGAACAUCAGUGGCGAAGGCGGCCAUCUGGGACAACACUGACGCUGAGGCACGAAAGCGUGGGGAGCAAACAGGAUUAGAUACCCGCGUAGUCCCUGUCUCUUAUAC
rnacentral:rRNA from 1 species